CUUGUGAGUUCCAAGUGCUGCUCUGAGCUGAUAACCAGUCACGUCCUAGACACCCUGGCCUGGAAACUAGGACAUCUGCCUCGGGCCUGUUAUGGCCAAGGCUGCUAACACUGAGAAACAGUCUUAGCUUGUUACAGCGUUGACGUAUAGGGUUAGAAAGGCAAAUAUUUAAAUUCAUUUUAAAUCCUUUCAUUUGAAAUUUUAGUAGGUCAUUUUGGUAUACUGAUGGACUGAGUUUGGAAAAGGCUGGCGGCAUUAAACUAGAAUAUUUUAAGUACUUCUGAUGCCUUUGUACUGAUUUCUUUUUUGUAAUCAAACCCAUUAAUAGACUUAAAACUCAAGGAAGAAAAAAUAAUACUUGUAAUUUUAAAUAAGCAUUCAAUUAUAAGUAAAAAACAUUUUUGUAUUCGUUACCAUAGUUACCAAGCAGCUUUCCUAUAGUUCUAGAAAAAAAUGGGCUCCAUCAUUCAGAGUAAUUCUGAAAGGUGCCUUUGGGGGAAAGGGAGAGGAAGGGGUGGUACAGGAGAGGUCCUGGCCGUCCCAGAAGCAGGAGACAUAACUGGAAGAGCUUUGUUGACGCUGAGUUUUACAGAAUCUCCCACUAAAUAGUAACUGCAUUUGUGAGGGGAAUUCUCUUUUAGCCGUGACAUAAUAUAAGCCAACUUAACAGAGUAUUGGAAUUGUAUUCAAACUUUAGAAGUCGACGCUAUAGUUUACAUGGGGUACUACUAUAUUUGUUCAGGGUUUUAAAACUUUAUUUAAAUCAAGCAAAAGUUAGACACUUCCUGUAUUUGCAAAUACCAACUAUAUCUCAAAGGAAUGAAAUCAGGCAAAUAAAGAUGAGGCCAAAAUUUAAAAUCUAAGGAAGCUGAAAGUGGCAGUUUCUGUACUGGAAGAGAGUGCAUCUAUCUCUGUAUUUGUGCUUUUGGUCUUAAUAGUUUGUAAGCCUUAUGUAGAGUUUUGAUAAUAUUUCAUGGUUUUAGGCCUAGGCAGGGAUUAGAUUUUAUCUCAGAUUUUGCUAAGAGUAUUUCUUCUGGAGACUAGCAGGCUGCUAGUAAGAAUUGAUAGAAUUGGCUCUUUGUCACUGGGAGAACUGGAGUUGAAGGGUUACAGGAGAUGAGUCCUGGAGAACGGGAGGCAGGGACAAGGGUGCCAGGAAGCUCAGGGGAUGAAAGGGAAAUGGAGAGUCCAGUGAGAGAAGGCUGGCGAGGUGUAGAGAGUGGCCAGACACAUGCCUGACAGUUGGGACCACUUCUCUAUACAAAUCAGGAGGAGGCGAGGUAGGCAGGAUAGUUCAGAGUUUGUGGGAAGGAACCUGACAUCUGAAGUCAGUGGAGUGUGUCUUGGGCUGCUGCCUGCACUCUGCCAUUCAUAGAUCAGGUCUUCUUUUUCCUUCCCCAGAACUGCCCUGAGCUGAAACCACCUUUCUUCUCUCCCUAUAGCAGUACAUCUACCCCACCUACACCCUGCAUCCACUCCACAGCCCCUUGUCUUCUUCAGUCCCUCUUUCCCUGAUGACCACAGACCUCUCCAAGCUGGGCACUGUUCUAUGGUGCGUUUUGUUAAAGUCUAAGGGAAGUCCUGUAGGAAGAGGUAGUUGUUACUAAACUUGAGGAAACAUGAAACAACAUAUAGCACACAAUUCAAAAAACUUACUAAAAUUUAUUAAGAGCAUUUGACAUCUUAGUUAAGUCACUGUUCAUAACUACUGUUCCACCAUAGAAUCUUCACAAGAACAGCCUGCUGGACUUCACAAGAAGGCUGAUGGAUGUUGGGGGUGGGCAUUUGGGGUGUGGAAAGGCCGCUUGGCACAUUCUCAGCAUGCGCCAGCCCACACCGCCCCUUACCACCAAAGCCUUCUAUUUCCCAUUCCAUCCAGUAGGAGCAGCUGUAGCUGACCUGAAACCUUCGGGGACAGGCUCAUUGAUUGUUUAAAUAGGGAGGUGCAAGCUCUCAGGGGUCCGGGGCCUUGAUGACACAGCUCAGGCACCACAGGCACCUCCCACAAGCGCGUCAGGCUGUGUGAGGCUGAGCACAGCUUAUUUUCACUUUCUUGUCCAUAAAGUCUCACAUCAUAUUCAGUUGUUUUCCUUCUACCCUAAAAGAAACACAACCAGAAAAGCCAGUCUCCCAUUUUCAUCUGUUUAAGGAAUUAUGUAGCCACAAGGAUCUUUAGAAGCAAGUCCUCUUAGGAGAAAAUGACAACCUCUAUGGGAUUUCAACAAUGGAGUUCCUUUUGAAAAGCAGUGGUGCAGCCCACACCUCCUAAAUU
rnacentral:lncRNA from 1 species